rnacentral:rRNA from 1 species
AUUGAACGCUGGCGGCAGGCCUAACACAUGCAAGUCGAACGAGUGGCGGACGGGUGAGUAAUGGCUGGGAAACUGCCUGAUGGAGGGGGAUAACUACUGGAAACGGUAGCUAAUACCGCAUACCAUCGGAUGUGCCCAGCUGGGAUUGGCUAGUAGGUGGGGUAACGGCUCACCUAGGCGACGAUCCCUAGCUGGUCUGAGAGGAUGACCAGCCACACGGGAACUGAGCCAAGGUCCAGACUCCUCAGGGUGGCAGCAGUGGGGAAUAUUGCACAAUGGGCGCAAGCCUGAUGCCGCCAGGCCGCGUGUAUGAAGGAGGCCUUCGGUUUGUAAAGUACUUUCAGCGGGGAGGCGUUACCCGCAGAAGAAGCACCGGCUAACUCCGUGCCAGCCGCCGCGGUAAUUC